rnacentral:rRNA from 1 species
AACGAACGCUGGCGGCGCGCCUAAUACAUGCAAGUCGAGCGAGAAGACGUAGCAAUACGUUUGUAAAGCGGCGAACGGGUGAGGAAUACAUGGGUAACCUACCCUCGAGUGGGGAAUAACUAGCCGAAAGGUUAGCUAAUACCGCGUACGCUCCUUGGACUUUGGUUCAGGGAGGAAAGCGAUACCGUGGGUAUCGCGCUCUUGGAUGGGCUCAUGUCCUAUCAGCUUGUUGGUGAGGUAACGGCUCACCAAGGCUUCGACGGGUAGCUGGUCUGAGAGGACGAUCAGCCACACUGGC